rnacentral:miRNA from 1 species
ACUCUCACCGGCCGAGAGGAAUCCCUCUCGGUUGAUGAGAGUGUACACUCUCAUUGACCGAGAGGGAUUCCUCUCGGCCGGUGAGAGU